AGUGAACGCUGGCGGUAGGCCUAACACAUGCAAGUCGAACGGCAGCACAGUAAGAGCUUGCUCUUACGGGUGGCGAGUGGCGGACGGGUGAGGAAUACAUCGGAAUCUACUUUUUCGUGGGGGAUAACGUAGGGAAACUUACGCUAAUACCGCAUACGACCUUCGGGUGAAAGCAGGGGAUCUUCGGACCUUGCGCGAUUGAAUGAGCCGAUGUCGGAUUAGCUAGUUGGCGGGGUAAAGGCCCACCAAGGCGACGAUCCGUAGCUGGUCUGAGAGGAUGAUCAGCCACACUGGAACUGAGACACGGUCCAGACUCCUACGGGAGGCAGCAGUGGGGAAUAUUGGACAAUGGGCGCAAGCCUGAUCCAGCCAUACCGCGUGUGUGAAGAAGGCCUUCGGGUUGUAAAGCCCUUUUGUUGGGAAAGAAAAGCAGCAGGUUAAUACCCCGCUGUUCUGACGGUACCCAAAGAAUAAGCACCGGCUAACUUCGUG
rnacentral:rRNA from 1 species